rnacentral:rRNA from 1 species
GAUGAACGCUAGCGGCAGGCUUAAUACAUGCAAGUCGAGGGGCAGCAUGAUUGUAGCAAUACAAUUGAUGGCGACCGGCAAACGGGUGCGGAACACGUACACAACCUUCCAACAAGUGGGGGAUAGCCCAGAGAAAUUUGGAUUAAUACCCCGUAACAUAGCGAUGUGGCAUCACAUUGCUAUUAUAGAUUUUUCGCUUGUUGAUGGGUGUGCGGCUGAUUAGAUAGUUGGCGGGGUAACGGCCCACCAAGUCUACGAUCAGUAGCUGAUGUGGGAGCAGGAUCAUCCCCACGGGCACUGAGACACGGGCCCGACUCCGACGGGAGGCACCAGUAAGGAAUAUUGGACAAUGGACGCAAGUCUGAUCCAGCCAUGCCGCGUGAAGGAUUAAGGUCCUCUGGAUUGUAAACUUCUUUUAUAAGGGACGAAAAAAGGCUUUUCUAAGUCGUCUGACGGUACCUUAUGAAUAAGCACCGGCUAACUCCGUGCCAGCCGCCGCAGUAACAC